rnacentral:rRNA from 1 species
UACGAAGGGGGCUAGCGUUGCUCGGAAUCACUGGGCGUAAAGGGUGCGUAGGCGGGUCUUUAAGUCAGGGGUGAAAUCCUGGAGCUCAACUCCAGAACUGCCUUUGAUACUGAGGAUCUUGAGUUCGGGAGAGGUGAGUGGAACUGCGAGUGUAGAGGUGAAAUUCGUAGAUAUUCGCAAGAACACCAGUGGCGAAGGCGGCUCACUGGCCUGUACUGACGCUGAGGAGCGAAAGCGUGGGGAGCGAACGAGGAUUGAUGAA